AGGAAUCACCAUAAAGAAUUCAUUCACGAAUAAAUAUUUUUAAUUACGUUUGUGGUUAUGUACUGCCUUGGAAGGAACACCUAGUAUUUAUGUGACUCUCAAAACAAACACCGAAGCUGAAGAGGCGAGGCCCCCGGGCACAGCUCUGCCAGGUGCUGGGUUGUGAGCUGAGAACACCCGUGAGGCGGCGCCGCCCUGAGGGGACGGGCGGUAACGGCCGGGAGGGGCGCGUGCCCCCGAGAUGACCCCGGUCGCGCGACCUUCAAUUGGAAAGGGCGCGAACGGUGAGGCGGGAAGCGAAAGCGGCGGGAAGGGAAAACGGCGGGAAGGGAGAGCCGCGUUCUGCGCUCCUAUUGGCUGACAGGAGGCGGGGACACCUAUAUAAGGCGCGCGGGGGAAAGAGAUCUCCUCACAGCGUGACAGGAAUCGCAGUGCUCUGAGGGAGAGGCGGCAAGCGGCAUCCUGGGCUGAGGAGCCGCCUCAGAAGACGGAGGGAGCCGCGUGUGGAACCGGGAGGCAGGAAUGCGCAGGAAGAGGAAGCAGUAGACUGUCACUUUUAUAGGAUUUCCUACAGUGUUUUGCAGAUCUGUAAUGUUUCCUAGAAAUAUUAUUUCUUGGUAAUUCACCAGAAUCAUGUAGAUCACUUGGUAGUAAAAGUUAUUUCGUCUUGUCUGUGUCUGAAAC